rnacentral:lncRNA from 1 species
GGACGGGUGGGGUCAUUUAGUGCAAACAUUCAAAUUUCUCAGAUGGUAAGGUUGUCGCAUAUCAAAUGAAAGAACAUAAAGCGUACAUUUCAAAUUUACAAUUGACGUCUCCCAAAAAUGGGUUGGAUGGGGUCAUUGAGUGCAAAAAAUAAAUUUUCUUUUAAGAUAGGGUUGUUGUAUAUUAAAUGAAAGGUCAUGAUGUGUACAUUGGAAAUAUCAAAUCCCGACCUCCAAAAAUUAGUUGGAUAGGGUUAUUAAGUGCAAAAAUCAAACUUUCUAGAACAUAGAGUUGUUGCAUAUCAAAUGAAAGCUCAUCUACUCUAUGUUAUUUAUAUCAUAAUUCUAAUCUCAAAAAUGUAGGCGGAUGAGGUCAUUAAGUGUAAAAAGCGAAAAGUUUCAGAAGGUAUGCUUGUCGUAUAUCAAACGAAAGGUCAUACAAAGUACAUUACGAAAACAUCACUUUUACAGGAAAGACCUUUCAAUUGUUUUACAAACAAUUGAGAUACUAGUUUUUUUUAUUGUAGUUA